rnacentral:rRNA from 1 species
CCCUUAGAUGUUCUGGGCUGCACGCGCGCUACACUGACGCACGCAACAGGUGCCUGCUCCGAGAGGACUGGGUAAUCAUUUGAGUGUGCGUCGUGAUGGGGAUAGAAUAUUGUAAUUAUUACUCUUCAACGAGGAAUUCCUAGUAAGCGCCAGUCAGCAGCUUGCGCUGAUUACGUCCCUGCCCUUUGUACACACCGCCCGUCGCUCCUACCGAUGGGUGAUCCGGUGAAUGAUUCGGACUUCAGCGGCUCCCCUGGGGUACGCCGGAGAAAGUUUUGUGAACCUUAUCACUUGGAGGAAGGAGAAGUCGUAACA